rnacentral:rRNA from 1 species
UAUCUUGCUCUUCGGGUGACGAGCGGGGGACGGGUGAGUAAUGUCUGGGAAACUGCCUGAUGGAGGGGGAUAACUACUGGAAACGGUUGCUAAUACCGCCUAACGUCGCAAGACCAGAGUGGGGGACCUUCCGGCCUCUUGCCAUCAAAUCUGCCCAGAUGUUGAUUAGCUGGUAGGUGAGGUGAUGGCUCACCUAGGCAACUAUCCCUAGCUGGUCUGAGAAGGAUGACCAGCCACACUGCGUAACUGACACACCGUCCACACUCCUACGGGAGGCAGCAGUGGAGGAAUAUUGCACAAUGGGAACAAGCCUGAUGCAUCCAUGCCGCGUGUAUGAAGAAGGCCUUCGGGUUGUAAAGUACUUUCAGCGAGGAGGAAGGCUUUAAGGUUAAUAACCUUGACGAUUGACGUUACUCGCAGAAGAAGCACCGGCUAACUCCGUGCCAGCAGCCGCGGUAAUACGGAGGGUGCAAGCGUUAAUCGGAAUUACUGGGCGUAAAGCGCACGCACGCGGUCUGUCAAGUCAGAUGUGAAAUCCCC